UUUGUAGAAUGAACCGGCGAGUUACGAUUUGUUGCAAGGUUAAGCGGAAAAAGCGGAGCCGUAGCGAAAGCGAGUCUGAAUAGGGCGCAUAAGUAACAGGUCGUAGACCCGAAACCAGGUGAUCUACCCAUGUCCAGGAUGAAGGUAAGGUAAUACUUACUGGAGGUCCGAACCCACGCACGUUGAAAAGUGCGGGGAUGAGGUGUGGGUAGCGGAGAAAUUCCAAUCGAACUUGGAGAUAGCUGGUUCUCUCCGAAAUAGCUUUAGGGCUAGCCUCGAGGUAAAGAGUCAUGGAGGUAGAGCACUGUUUGGACUAGGGGCCCUUCUCGGGUUACCGAAUUCAGAUAAACUCCGAAUGCCAUGUACUUAUACUCGGGAGUCAGACUGCGAGUGAUAAGAUCCGUAGUCGAAAGGGAAACAGCCCAGACCACCAGUUAAGGUCCCCAAAUAUAUGUUAAGUGGAAAAGGAUGUGGGGUUGCUUAGACAACCAGGAUGUUGGCUUAGAAGCAGCCACCAUUGAAAGAGUGCGUAAUAGCUCACUGGUCGAGUGACCCCGCGCCGAAAAUGUACCGGGGCUAAACAUAUUACCGAAACUGUGGAUGAACCUCUUUAGAGGUUCGUGGUAGGAGAGCGUUCUAAGGGCGGUGAAGUCAGACCGGAAGGACUGGUGGAGCGCUUAGAAGUGAGAAUGCCGGUAUGAGUAGCGAAAGAAGGGUGAGAAUCCCUUCCACCGAAUAUCUAAGGUUUCCUGAGGAAGGCUCGUCCGCUCAGGGUUAGUCGGGACCUAAGCCGAGGCCGAUAGGCGUAGGCGAUGGACAACAGGUAGAGAUUCCUGUACCAGUGCUAAUUGUUUAACCGAUGGGGUGACACAGAAGGAUAGGGAAUCGCACGAAUGGAAAUGUGCGUCCAAGCAGUGAGUGUGAGAAGUAGGCAAAUCCGCUUCUCGCGAAGCAUGAGCUGUGAUGGGGAAGGAAAUUAAGUACGGAAGUUCCUGAUUUCACGCUGUCAAGAAAAGCCUCUAGGAAGAGUAGUACUGCCCGUACCGCAAACCGACACAGGUAGAUGAGGAGAGAAUCCUAAGGUGAGCGAGAGAACUCUCGUUAAGGAACUCGGCAAAAUGACCCCGUAACUUCGGGAGAAGGGGUGCUCUAUUAGGGUGCAAGCCCGAGAGAGCCGCAGUGAAUAGGCCCAGGCGACUGUUUAGCAAAAACACAGGUCUCUGCAAAACCGUAAGGUGACGUAUAGGGGCUGACGCCUGCCCGGUGCUGGAAGGUUAAGAGGAGUGCUUAGCUUCGGCGAAGGUACGAAUUGAAGCCCCAGUAAACGGCGGCCGUAACUAUAACGGUCCUAAGGUAGCGAAAUUCCUUGUCGGGUAAGUUCCGACCCGCACGAAAGGCGCAACGAUCUGGGCACUGUCUCAACGAGAGACUCGGUGAAAUUAUAGUACCUGUGAAGAUGCAGGUUACCCGCGACAGGACGGAAAGACCCCGUGGAGCUUUACUGCAACCUGAUAUGGAAUGUUUGUACCGCUUGUACAGGAUAGGUAGGAGCCGAAGAGACGUGUGCGCUAGCAUACGAGGAGGCAAUGGUGGGAUACUACCCUGGCUGUAUGACCAUUCUAACCCGCCACGCUUAGCGCGUGGGGAGACAGUGUCAGGUGGGCAGUUUGACUGGGGCGGUCGCCUCCUAAAGAGUAACGGAGGCGCCCAAAGGUUCCCUCAGAAUGGAUGGAAAUCAUUCGCAGAGUGUAAAGGCACAAGGGAGCUUGACUGCGAGACUGACAAGUCGAGCAGGGACGAAAGUCGGGCUUAGUGAUCCGGUGGUUCCGCAUGGAAGGGCCAUCGCUCAACGGAUAAAAGCUACCCCGGGGAUAACAGGCUUAUCUCCCCCAAGAGUCCACAUCGACGGGGAGGUUUGGCACCUCGAUGUCGGCUCGUCGCAUCCUGGGGCUGUAGUCGGUCCCAAGGGUUGGGCUGUUCGCCCAUUAAAGCGGCACGCGAGCUGGGUUCAGAACGUCGUGAGACAGUUCGGUCCCUAUCCGUCGCGGGCGCAGGAAAUUUGAGAGGAGCUGUCCUUAGUACGAGAGGACCGGGAUGGACACACCGCUGGUGUACCAGUUGUUCCGCCAGGAGCAUCGCUGGGUAGCUAUGUGUGGCAGGGAUAAACGCUGAAAGCAUCUAAGCGUGAAGCCCCCCUCAAGAUGAGAUUUCCCAUUUCUUCGGAAAGUAAGAUCCCUGAAAGAUGAUCAGGUAGAUAGGUUUGGAGUGGAAGUGUAGCGAUACAUGGAGCGGACAAAUACUAAUCGAUCGAGGACUUAACCAAAA
rnacentral:rRNA from 1 species